rnacentral:rRNA from 1 species
AACGAACGCUGGCGGCAGGCCUAACACAUGCAAGUCGAGCGCGCCCUUCGGGGUGAGCGGCGGACGGGUGAGUAACGCGUGGGAACGUGCCCUUUUCUACGGAAUAGCCUCGGGAAACUGAGAGUAAUACCGUAUACGCCCUUUGGGGGAAAGAUUUAUCGGAAAAGGAUCGGCCCGCGUUGGAUUAGGUAGUUGGUGGGGUAAUGGCCUACCAAGCCGACGAUCCAUAGCUGGAUUGAGAGGAUGAUCAGCCACACUGGGACUGAGACACGGCCCAGACUCCUACGGGAGGCAGCAGUGGGGAAUCUUAGACAAUGGGGGCAACCCUGAUCUAGCCAUGCCGCGUGAGUGAUGAAGGCCUUAGGGCUGUAAAGCUCUUUCAGCUGGGAAGAUAAUGACGGUACCAGCAGAAGAAGCCCCGGCUAACUCCGUG